rnacentral:rRNA from 1 species
UCAGUUCGGAUUGCAGCCUGCAACUCGGCUGCAUGAAGCUGGAAUCGCUAGUAAUCGCAGAUCAGAAUGCUGCGGUGAAUACGUUCCCGGGUCUUGUACACACCGCCCGUCACACCAUGGGAGUUGGGAAUGCCCGAAGUCAGUGACCCAACCGCAAGGAGGGAGCUGCCGAAGGCAGGCUUGAUAACUGGGGUGAAGUCGUAACAAGGUACC